GAAUAUUGGACAAUGGGCGAAAGCCUGAUCCAGCCAUGCCGCGUGUGUGAAGAAGGUCUUCGGAUUGUAAAGCACUUUAAGUUGGGAGGAAGGGCAGUAAGCGAAUACCUUGCUGUUUUGACGUUACCGACAGACUAAGCACCGGCUAACCCUGUGCCCGCCGCCGCGGUAAUACAGAGGGUGCAAGCGUUAAUCGGAAUUACUGGGCGUAAAGCGCGCGUAGGUGGUUCGUUAAGUUGGAUGUGAAAUCCCCGGGCUCAACCUGGGAACUGCAUCCAAAACUGGCGAGCUAGAGUAGGGCAGAGGGUGGUGGAAUUCCCGGUGUAGCAGUGAAAUGCGUAGAGAUCGGGAGGAACAUCCAUGGCGAAGGCAGCUACCUGGACCAACACUGACACUGAGGCACGAAAGCGUGGGGAGCAAACAGG
rnacentral:rRNA from 1 species